UCCCAGGUGGCUGUGUGGUAAAGAACCUGCCUGCCAGUGCUGGAGAUGCAAGAGGCUCGAGUUCGAUCCUUGGCUUGGGAA
rnacentral:tRNA from 1 species